rnacentral:tRNA from 1 species
AGUCCCGUAGGGUAGUGGUCAAUCCUGCUGGCUUUUGGAGCCGGCGACGGCGGUUCGAAUCCGUCCGGGACUA